AUUAGCUUUACUUGUUGUUGUUUUUUAGGUGAAUCAAUUGCAAUUGAUGGAAUAUCUUUAAAAUGCUGAGAAUAUUUUCCAACAAUUUUGUGAUCUCCAUAAAUAUGAAGGGGAAAGGUGAAAAUAUGCUUUAAGAGCACUAAUUUAUAUGGUGUAGUGAAAGUUCAUGUAAUUUUUUAAAAAUCGAAUAUGCGGAAAGGAGCUGUUUGGAAUGAAGAUUUACAAGAAGAAGUAAUUCCAUCUAAUUGAAUUAGUGAUAAAAUUGUUUGUCGGCUUCCAGGUACCAAAACAUUGACUGCACUAAAAUGCAGAGAAGAGUUGGCUUAAGUUUAUACAAAUAAAAACUAAAUUCUCUUCAGAUAAAUCAAUUACAGAUAAAUUAAUUAGUUAAUUGGUGGAACGUCUUCUAAAGAUAGAAUACACAAAAUUAUGCUGAGGUAAUCAAAAACAGUAUUGGACUCUUACCUCAUUUAUAAUCAGGGUGUCUGCAGCUCCUCUUAAAUCCUCUAAAGUCCUCUUU